AUCAUGGCUCAGGAUGAACGCUAGCUACAGGCUUAACACAUGCAAGUCGAGGGGAAACGAUAGAGAAAGCUUGCUUUUUCUAGGCGUCGACCGGCGCACGGGUGAGUAACGCGUAUCCAACCUGCCCAUCACUUGGGGAUAACCUUGCGAAAGUAAGACUAAUACCCAAUGACGUCUCUAGAAGACAUCUGAAGGAGAUUAAAGAUUUAUCGGUGAUGGAUGGGGAUGCGUCUGAUUAGCUUGUUGGCGGGUAACGGCCCACCAAGGCGACGAUCAGUAGGGGUUCUGAGAGGAAGGUCCCCCACAUUGGAACUGAGACACGGUCCAAACUCCUACGGGAGGCAGCAGUGAGGAAUAUUGGUCAAUGGACGAGAGUCUGAACCAGCCAAGUAGCGUGCAGGAUGACGGCCCUAUGGGUUGUAAACUGCUUUUAUAAGGGAAUAAAGUGGGAGUCGUGACUCUUUUUGCAUGUACCUUAUGAAUAAGGACCGGCUAAUUCCGUG
rnacentral:rRNA from 1 species